AAAUUAUGGUGAGGACACCUUCUCAAAAGUUCUCCAAAUCGUUCUCAUCAUUCAAAUAGGGUUUCUAACUCAUACUACUAAAAAUUAAAAAUUUCUACCAUAAGCUU